AAAAAAAAAAAACAAAAGCAGCUUCCUCUAUCAUCACAGGUUCACGGCUACAAAAAUAGGAAGAGGCACUCACUUCUGCACCCUCGGAAAGUCGGAAGUCGGAAGAAGGAAAAGAAAAAGGAUAGAACCCAACAUUGCCGAAGGUCUUGAGGAAAAUGGUGAAGGAAGGCUCAGCAAUAAUCUCCGGUACACUUGCUCUUGCUCUGUCUCCGUCUCAGUCUCUGUCUCUCUCUGUCUCUGUCUCUGUCUCUGUCUCUGUCUUUGGCGGUCUAAACUCUCUGUAAAAACCAUUGCAUUGCUGAACUGGCUUUCUGUGUUGCGCUGGGUUUUGAUGGGUUUAUGGCUAUACUAUAAGGCAUUGGAAAAAUGUGAAAUUCACAGACCAAAGAGUGAAAUAGGUGUGGACAAGAAAAAUAUAUGUAUGUGUGCAGACUAUAUGCAUUGUCAUGCUGUAUAAUGUGGCUGCGCUUCAGUUUGGUCCUGAUCUCUUUGCUAUAUGUAUUCCUUGAAUUUUGAAAUGGGUUGAAGCUGUUUCUUCCGUAGGACAUCUUUUUGGUGAGAUUGUUCACAUAGAGAUUUAUAAUGUCUGUGGAGUGCAUUCCGUUCUGCAAGGGGAUGAUUGGUUGUUAAUGUCUCUAUGUGAAUACGUCAACCAAUUUAUGUAUAGCUAGCGUAGAUGAUGUCACGGCAGAAAAUGAAUUGAUUGGUUUCUCGGUUUUUGUCACCAAGGUGAUGCUCCUUGCAGUAUUCUACUGACUAUCUUUGGGUGGCAUCAAAAUAGAGGACUCGUGUGCAUCUUAGGGUGUCGGCUGAUUUUUAUUCAAAUGUAUAGUUUGUCUAGAAAAAAGGUGGUUAUGGAAGCUCAGUUGUUGUGAGAUUAAUGGAUUAUGUUUUUCUCUGGAGGCAGUGAAAAAAAUGUGUACAUGGGGAAUCAUCCUUCUUUUCUGAAUUCAGAGGUGUAUGUGAGCUGUUGUGCCUGCAGAAGGGUAGAGAAGGGGAUACUUCUUCUUGUUACACUCUGUUUCUCCAUUGGACUCUUGUUAUAUGAGAUGCACAGAUGAUAAACUCAAGUGAUAUUUUCAGAAAUAUAUCGGUGAAUGAAGUUACCACUUUGCUGGAAGCAACUUUCAUAGCUUGAUCUUAGGAGGAUGUGUUGACAUUUCUCUUGUGUUCCAACAGUUAUGGCUGUGGCCUUGUGCUGUAGAUUUGAAAUGGCUUAGGAAUCAAGAUUCAGGACCAGACACAACUAUGUAUAGUACAACUUGAAUUUGGUGCACUGAGAAAAGUAGCCCCUCAUAUUCCAUUGACUUAUGAUGUGCCCUUCAGGGAGCAAUAAGUGCUCCUUGACCACAACAUCUCCAAUACUGUAGGUAAAACAUUGUCGGCAGUUUGAAUGACUUUGUCUUCAAGAACCCAACUCCUAUCACCUGCAUAACAAAUAUGAGUUAGGACCCCUUCUUGAGAAUAUUCUAAAGCAAAGGUCCUAGGUAUUGGAAGAAAAGCUGAAGCUUCACUUUACACUGUGGUGAUUUAGUCUUCCAAGCAUCAUUGGUGCUUUGAGUGGUUUCAGAAAUAGAGGCAGUGAUUCUGAACCAUUGCAUCAUGUAAUCAUGAAGGGGUCCAUGCUGUCAGAAAACUUUUUAGUCCAUACAUUGUGCAGUGAUUCAACAGGUAAAUGAAUUACUAUCCCUAGCUUUCUGACACAGUGGCAGAAUUGAUUGAACAGCAAAACAUUUUUCCUUUUUGCAGUCACUUUCUUGAUAGACCCUUUCCUUUUAGUGUUGGAUAUGUCUGAAGGUGGAUGAGCAUGUAAAAAUUUAUUAAUUUUGAUACUGGCUAAUUGAAAUGACAGGUAUGAAAUACCAGGGAUAUUAUAUGAUUAGCCAGACCAUUAAAUUAGAUGGCCAAAAAAUUGAAAAUAAAGGAAAAGGAAAUUGUUAAGCUGCUAUUGUUUCUGUUUAGUUGCAUGAAGGCCAGUAGAAUUGAUUGUUCAGCUUCUUCAAAAGAGUCGCUAUGAUCUUUAUAUUUUCAUGCUCAAUUCCUUCUGUCAUCUUUCAUUACUAGUUUCUUUUUUGCUUUUUUUUUUUUCCUUUCCAAUUUAUUCAUUAGUAGUCUAAGAUUAACCUAUAUCAGUAAUGUAUGUACACAGAGUCAUGCAGAUAUAUCUAUAUAUAAUACCUAAUACUACACACACACAAGCACAAACACAUACCCAGUCUGCUGCUUAGACAAGAUUCUGCAGAGUGGGAUCCCUUUCUGCUAUGAUCCCACUCAAGGCUGCUUGAGAAGCCUUUUGUUCUCUUUGGCCUUCCUCCCAUUUAGGUUUGACUUUAAGGUCUAUCUCUUAGUUCUGGGCUGCCCAGAGCUUGAGUGAUAAAUUUUAAACCCUAAGCCAUAACAGCUAUUUGACACCAUUGAUAUACACCUGUUGAGACCACACAAAAUUUAAGCUUGUUGCAUGGGCAGCCAUCCCGCUAAGCGGGAUCCCAUUGAAGAAGCUCCUUGUAUUGUAUGACUUUAUAUAC